CCAUGACCCACAUAAUGAUGGAUAUAAAAUUCAAACCAAAAUCAAAUCAACCUUCAUUUUCAACUUCUGAGAAAGUAAAAAGAAAAGGCCAAAAAAGAAGAAAAAUGGAAAACGGGAACAAUAGUAUCAUAUCACGGGAGAAGCUUGACCAGGUGGCCAGCUGGGUGGGCGCGACGGUCUCCACCGCCUUCUUUUCCUCCCUCGAGCGCUUCUCUUGCGUCAACCUCGCCACCACCGACUUCGACGACGAGGACGAGGACGAGGCCGCAGACCGCCCUUUCACCCUCACCAAUCACAGCGACCCUCCAAACGACGUUGCUGAGCUCCCCGUCUGAUCUCCCCCUCUCUGUGUGGUAUUGUUGUUACACUAGAUCUUGGUUUUAUGUGUAAUUAGGGUUUAUGAAAACAGCUUCUGGUUCUGAAUUUUAUGCGAGUCUGUCAAUGUGUAAUGUUUGUCGAUGACGAUUGUAUUUAGCAUUUUUAUAGAACAUAUUGAAAUUGUUAAAUAAUAAAGUUAUUUCUUUAAUCCGGAGGUGGUUAUUUAUGCUUGUUUCAUUGGAAUUGCAGUUUGUUUGGUUGCAUUGUUCAUGCAUUGUACGGACUGAAGAUCCAAUUUUAACAUUGGAUAGGCUAAGCUUCAGUAAACCCCCGAUUUACAAUGAUUGGAAUUCAAAAAUUUUGUUGAG
rnacentral:lncRNA from 1 species